CUUGAGAAAAUCUAAAAGGGGCUUCUUCAUUUGAGUAAAGUGUAUUUAAUGUUAUAUUCGCUCAUUUAAGGAGCUAUUCUUGUACUUAUUUAUGCUCUAAACUGUCUUACUCUUUGUGAGUAAUUGUUCUUGUUUUUGGAGGGUUUCCAAAACAAGGGAAGGUUGAUCCGAACCUGAAAUCGGAGUGUUUUGGGUUGACUUGUACCCGAGAAAUAAGUGGACUAGCUUGGGAUAGCU
rnacentral:lncRNA from 1 species